UUUGUGGUGGGUUGUAUGAUCAAAUUUUUGUAUACAGUUGAGGAUGCAUAAUUUGAUAUCAACUUUUUAGUUUUUAUUAUAUUGUGGUUUCUGCAUAAAUUUGGACAGUAUUGUUAACCUAGGACUCAAGUUGUUUCCUUGAUGCAGCUGCAUUGUCAUUGCUAGUUUUAUCUUUUCGAAAACAUGUUUUUAUUAUUUUUUUCUUUCUAAGAAUACGUGUUUCAUGUUUGGUCCAUUGAUUGUGUUUAUUACACUUGUUGAUAUAUGUUGACAUUUUUUUUGUGCUCAAGGUUACUUUGUUUUAUUUAUUUAUUAUCCUUGUCUGCAACUAUUAACUUAUAAUGUGCAUUUGAAACUGCUUAUGUUUUUUUGGCGGUAGUUUGUCUCAUUAGUUUUGUGCUCCUGUUUUUUUAGUGGAUUGUUCUUUAUGUGUGAUGACUUGGUUUUCAGUUAUAGAAAUUAUUAUUGAUUUGAUAAUUUAUGCUGCUAAAGAGAGCACUAUAUUGAAGUGUGUUAUCUUCUUUCUUUUUUCCCCAUCAGUUUUCUUCUACCAUGCAUUACAUGUUUAUUUUAUAUCUAUAGCCUGAACUUGUUAUAGUUUACAUUUUUUUGGCCUUUCGAAGCGAUGGUCUUUGGUGACUAUUAUCUGACUUUAGGGUAAGUCUUUUUCAACCUUAUCGAAUUGUAACUAUGAUUUGUAAUAUGUUAUGUAAGAGUUCUUCGGACAUAAUUUGGUGACAAUUGCAAUGCUUGGUAAAUUAAUAACCUCUAUCGAGUUUCAUCUUCCCCAACUAACAUAACAUCUGUUAAACCCAUAUGCUACUGUGGCAUUCGAGAG
rnacentral:lncRNA from 1 species